UUGAGCAUCUUCGCAGCGGGACUCCGGAAGCCGCCGCCGCCGCCGCCGCUGCCCGAGCGAGAAGCCGCCCGCCGCCGCCUGCGAACGCAGGAGCGAGAGAGAGGCGGCGUCCUUCACGCGCGCACACGCCCACCGCCGCCGCCCGCGCCCGCAGGGACGGUGGGCGGGGAAGGGGCGAGACGCGGCAAGAGGGCGCGAGGGGGAACCCGGAGUCGCCGCCCGCCGGAGGGAGUGAAUGAAGAUCAACACAAAGAAUAUUGCAACGAAUGGAUGUAAGACUUCUGUAUGGAAACUGUAUCAAUCCAUUGAUUUUGAGGAAAGGAAGAGCCUCUGGAAUCUAGGGAACUUAGCCUCAAUGCAGAUGAUGACAAGGCUUCAAGGAAUGGAAGAGCAACCUAGGAACCUGGGUUACUGAAUAAGAAGAAGAUCUACCCACCAACCUGGAACGCUGACCUUGAACUAAAGUAUGAGAGGCUGUAUUUAAAGGUCUAUGUCAGUUCUGGAUAUAGGAAGUCCAAGAUCAAGGUCCCUACAGAUUCAAGAUAUGGCGAGAAGGACGUGUUUGCUUCUCCUUUUGCCAUGAUCGAAAAUUUCCUGAGGCC